rnacentral:rRNA from 1 species
CCUACGGGAGGCAGCAGUGGGGAAUUUUGGACAAUGGGCGAAAGCCUGAUCCAGCAAUGCCGCGUGCAGGAUGAAGGCCUUCGGUUUGUAAACUGCUUUUGUACGGAACGAGAAAGCUUCUCCUAAUACGAGAGGCCCAUGACGGUACCGUAAGAAUAAGCACCGGCUAACUACGUGCCAGCAGCCGCGGUAAU